rnacentral:lncRNA from 1 species
CAGAAAAGUUUUCCAAGAAGAUGAAGCAGAUAGAAAACUGGAUGUAUUUGAACACUGGGGAAAAGUUUAGGGGUGAAUUAGUCAUAAUAACACAGGCAACAAGGAAAAUAAAAGUAAACAACACAUCCACUGAAUCUAGGGAGAAGGAAAUUUAUGCAAGAUAGGAAAAGUAAUUAUACCUUGCUGCAUGGCUCAAUUGUAAAUAGCAUUUACAUAACCUUAGUAGACUGGUCUAAGCAACAUAAAAUUGUAACUUUAUCGGGGGGUUAGAAGUCUGGAGGCAUGCAUGUGUAUAGUAAUGUGGGAGGAAGAAAGAGAGUUAAGUCUGUAUGUCCCAUCUUGGGAAGUCAAUAGAUUAUGCCUAAAACUGAUAAAUCAAGAAUGGCUAUUUGUAAGCAUUUCAUAUAUAUAGAGAGAUUAAUACCAAGAAAAAAUAGCUACAAGUGUCAACAGUGCAUAACACUGAAGAAUAAAAAUAUUGAAAGGAUAUCAGCAGGGGCCUUAUAUUUUAUAAUAAGCCACAUAGAUUUAUUUUGCUGUUUAAAUUCUAUGUCUGUAUAAAAUACAUUAAAACAAAAAACAUACAUUUUAAAAAGUUAGAUCCACACUCUUUAUAAAAAUAUUCAGAUGUAUUAGAAAUAGAGCUAUAACAUUAGAAUAAAGUUCAAUCAGAGUGAAGCAGAAAACAGAUAGGAGUGAGGGGAUUCUGCUGCUCAAAGCUACAGAAGAAAAUGAAGCGAAAAACAUCUGUCUAAUAAAAAGCUAAAACUAAAUAAAAAUCUGAAACUUUAUCAGUUAUGAAACUAAGUUUUAUUAUAAAGUAGCUCAUUCAAAUUAUGAAAACUAUCAAGACCUUGGGAGAUGAAUUUUAAAAAUAUUAUAUGACAAACUAGAAUGGGCUAAUUGUUAAAAAGAUAAAAUUUUCUGUUAAGUGAAAAAAGGAAGAUUUACCUUUAUAUGUAGCCAACUUAAAAAUCGUAACUCUAAAUAUUCUUGGAAUUAUGAUAAGCUUGUGUUGUAUAUGUAGACAUUGCCAGUCUCAAUGCAAAAUUUUAUGUCUAUUUGAGAAGAAUGAGAUAAUUAACAGCACUAAACAUGUGGAAUCUUCAAACUCUAUGACAAAGUUUCAGAGAUCUGAGAAUUUAUCCUAAGUAAAUAAUCAAGCAAAGAAAAAAAUCAUGCAUAGUAAGAUAAAGGUGAGAUAAAUUAUAAUUCCUUACCCUAUAGAGUGGCAACCUAAUUAUAAGAACCAUGCCACAACUCGAUCAGAUUGUUAUUAUACAAUAAAUAUCAAAAUAUAUAAGACAAUUCUGUAGUUGUGAUUUUUAUAUAAAAUGCAAAUGCAUAUGGACACAAUUGUCAAAAUUCAUAAAUUUGAAUGAAUGACUUUAGGGUGCUGGCCUGUGAAAUGACAUUUUGUAUCUUAAUUUUUUUUUUAAUGUUACAAAACAGGUUUGAAGUUUAAGUGUUAUCUGCAACACUUGCUGGUCAGUUUAGAAAAAGUACAUAUAUUUUAGAGCCUUAUUUUUUCCAUUUGAGAAUAAUUUUUAAAAAAUAACGUUUGCUCACCUAUCCCUGAGCAUUUUCCUGAGAAUCCAAUGCUAUAAUGUGUAUGAAAGCACUUGGUAAAUGCAAAGCACUUUAUUAACAGAUGAAGUUAUUGUUAUCAUUUUCAUCAGUAAACCAUUGAGAACAAUGCUUUGGCAGGAUUUUUUCUUCUCUCAACCACAGACAGAGCUUUAUCUCCCUGCCUCCAGAUGUGACACAUUAGAAGUUACUUGAGCUCAAGGUCAUUUUUUAACUUUGGCUCCUUAGAGAAGCAAUGGAAUAAACCAAAGAUCAAUGUGAAUGUUUUCCAAUAAAAUCAUCCAAAAGGAAUACCCAGGGAGGGAUGGAAAGCAUUCCAAGGACCCCACAGGAAGAACAAGUUUUUGAUAGCUCUGGACUGCUCUAAUAAGAUUGCCUUAGCCAUUGUCCAGCUUUCCAUUGGGAAAGACUUUCCUUGGUCAACUCCUAUUACAUUUCAAUGUUUCCUUGGUCAACUGCUAUUACAUUUCAGUGUCUUUGAGGGGCUCAAUCAGAGGGCCUCAAUCAAAUAACUUAAACUUAAAAUAUUUAGGCCCAAUCAUUACUACAGACCAGGAUCAAAUUGGAGUUCUUUUUACAUAAUUAAAAAUAUGUAUCAAUAAUUUUUCAACUUGAGAACCUCCCUGAAUUCAACAAUUAAAGUUUAGAGAUAACUGUUUGGGAAUUCUAGUUUGAUCUGUUUAUAGAAAUUAAAUACAGGAAGGCCAGAGACUACCUCAGUUGCCAUUCUCAUGGUUUGUUGUGUCAGGAACAUAAAAAGUGUGGGCAAGGGAUAGGUUGGCUACCCAAGAUCUUGUGGCGUGGCUGCUGCAGCUGUUUUUCUUGGCCUGCUUAGAAGUUAUUUUUUCUAAUUGGGUCUCUCAUGGAAUUGAGAGUUCCUCCAUUGUUUAUAGCUGCACCCAUAUACUUGUCGCAGAUACACAAGGCGCUAUGGAUAAGAAUGAGUUAGAUCCUGACUGUGCAUGCACAUGCACACACACACACACACACACCACACAUAUACAGACACAGACAGAACAUGCCUGUUUCCAUUUAAAUUUGCUUUUUGGAUGAAAUCGUUUACAUAAGUAGGACCAUAGGUUAAGUGUGUCCAUGUUGAAUGAUUUGGCAAAUGAAUCUGGCCUGACAAGCAUUUUUGAUAUCAGAGGGCCUGAACAGCAUCAUUUUCAGGGGUCAGGCCCUACUGGGUCUGGCUCAGAGUUCUCUGCCAGUUUUGAGGGUGUGGCGCGGAGAGUCUGAUGUUUGCUUUAAUGAAUGUGCGAAGUCUCUUAAACAGAUUGUCUGCCUAGAAAAACAUUUCAGAUGCUUCUCAGUCCUGAACUUCGGCUUCAGCCAUGACCAAAGAAAUAUUAGGCUAGUUUAAAACCUUUUCCAAUCAUUCCAUAAAAAUUGUGGUUUCCCUCCUCUAUCAAAUCAGCUAAUCUCAUUUAACUGUGACCACUGCUUAAAUGCAAUUAAAUUAGAGUCAGAAAAUUGUGUCUUUCCUUGACCAGAACCUAAAAUAAGGUGCACAUACCAAUGAACGUAGCUCACAGAAGGCUAAGGUCUAAGUUUACAAGCUCCACAAGGACAGGGGCUUUGUUCAUCUUGUUCCCUGUUAUAUCCCCAGCCCCUGUAACAGGGUCUUCAUUACUGCCUAGAGUAAGAGUUCAUA